UAACUAUCUGAAAACCAACUGGAUUAUUCAAACUACCCGAACCCGCAUGCCUUAUUGAAAUUAAAAAUGAUUGAAGAUUAACUGAAGAGAGCAAAACGGCUGUUUCUUAUAGCAAACGUGUUCCUUAACAGAUUCACAAAUAAGAUGGCAUCAAUAACACAACAACCUCUUGUCAUCUAAGUGACAUCCAGUUUUUCAGGAUGUCAAUUAUUAUUCCUGUUCUUGAUUGGAACGGGAACUCGAGGAACCAGAUUUAGGAACACUAUGUGUAAUCUGACGGUAUGAGGAAAGGGUCAACUUCAUUGUCCUUGUACCUGUUACUGUCGCUGUCACUUAACUGGCCACUACCACGAGUACCUUUAAUCCAAUGAUCCACGACACCUAUGAUGCUGAUGGAUGACUUUGCAUCGUGAAAAACAUAUCUAAACUAAAAACAAAAAAAGGAACAUUUUGGGUUUCACAAAUUUUAAAAACUGUAGAUGAUCAAGUAGCUAGCACAUCUACAAAGUUCAUACAAACCAAGAAAUAAAAACAUCAGCAUAGUGGAUUGCAUUACAAGCGAUGAGAUUAGACGAUUCUUAACAAACAAGCUCCAAAGCUACAUCAUUAUCUCAGAUCAAAAUGCUAUCUGUCUGGAUCCUUGCGUUACAGCUUACCAGUAUUCUAGGCUAGGCACUGAUGAUUUAUCUUCUUCCGCAAGUAUGAAAUACACAAAAAUCCUCAUACCCCAUCGUCCCUUCAACUUUGCUUGUGAACUUCCUAGUAACCUGAGUAGCAAACCAAUGUAUUAUCAGUAAAGAGAACAAAUAACUGCGAACAAUAAAAGAACAUAAAAUUAAAUAAAUCUUAAAUACAUUUAUUUGGAUACUAAAAUUCAGUCAUAAUAUUAGUUUUGAGUGUGAAGUUGAUUUUUUCAAGAAUUUUGUUAAUUGAAUUUCUUUCAUGAAUUUUUUUUAAAUCAGAUUCAAAUUAUAUUUGAUAUUUGAAAUAUCAUUUAAUAAAACUUGUUUGGGUUUUUUACAAUUUAGAACGAGUACAAAUUCGAGAUUUUGGCUAUGGUUUGAUUUGAACCUCGGUUCAAUUAGCAAUGUCAAACAGAAUAUUUAAGUGUGAAUAUUAAAUCUAAGAAAAUCAAUUAAAUUUGAAGAAAUUAAUUUUUUAAUUAAUUUUGAUGUUAUUUGGUUAUAAUUUUCAGUAGUUUUUUAAUUGUAUUAUUGGAUUAGGCAUUUGUAAUCACUUUUGUAAAAUACUUAAAAUUAUAAUGUUAUUAAAUUUAGUAAUUUUUAGUUUUAUUAAAUAUUAGUGUUAUUCUAAUUUUGGUGUAUUUUGUGAUGAUAAAAAUUUAAUGGAACUCUACUACAAACAUGCAAAAACCCAAUAAUGUUUUAAGAUUAAUAUUUAAAUGAUUUGUAUAUCAUUUAUAUAAAAAUAUAUUAAAUCUUAUUAUUGAUCACUAUGAUACAAUCGAUUUUAUAAUAGAUGUACCUGUUUUAAAAUUUAUUUUUAAGAUAUUCAUAAACAAAUUAUAAGAAUAAUUUUUAUUAUUUUGUAUCUAAAUUUAGUGCUCUAUAUUUUAUCUUGGUUUUUAUUAGCUAAUAUCAUAUAAAAUUAGCUAAUUUUUUUUUUGUUAGUCGAAAAUUUAUUCUAUUUUUUAAAUGAUUUUUAAUAAGAUAUAAAAUAAUACUUAUCAGCCUUUUUCAUAUACAAAGAAUUAAAAUGUUCAUAAAAGAAAUUUAUUUUUCUUAAAUGUGUUUAUAUUUUUUUAAAGGAAAAUCUAAAACGUAAGAAAAAACAAAUGCAUUAAAACCAGCAUACAAAAAUGUAGUUUUCUCAUUAUUAUUUGUUAAACUAAAUUAUUUCAUAAUCAAUAAAAAUUUUGAAUUGUUUUGGAGGAUAUAUUAGUCCAUUGCCAAAAUUAAAAAAAUUAAAAAUACAGAGACGCAGUAAUCGAAGAUCGGACGAGAAAGAUUAACAAAACGAGUGGCGUUGCUCUCCUCUGUUCAUCAUCUUCCUCCUUGGCUCGUCUCCUUGUCAAUAUAUAACAACACACAGAGUUCCUCUCCGUCCUUCCCACAAAGUACUCACCUUUAUCUCCCCCUCUCUGCAUUAUCCCUUCUUCACCGUCUCGAAGCUUUCUCAGAAUGGCGUCAACCACCAAUGGAAGUACUGACUAUGGUGCCUACACAUACAAGGACCUCUCUCGAGAGCUUUACUGGCCUUCUCACAAGCUCAAGAUAUCAAUCACAGGAGCCGGAGGUUUCAUAGCCUCCCACAUCGCUCGCCGUCUAAAGCACGAGGGCCAUUACGUCAUUGCAUCCGACUGGAAGAAGAAUGAGCACAUGACUGAAGACAUGUUCUGCGACGAGUUCCACCUCGUUGAUCUCAGGGUCAUGGAGAAUUGCCUCAAGGUUACUGAUGGUGUUGAUCACGUCUUUAACUUGGCUGCUGAUAUGGGCGGUAUGGGUUUCAUCCAGUCCAACCACUCUGUUAUCAUGUAUAACAAUACUAUGAUCAGCUUUAAUAUGAUCGAGGCUGCUAGGAUCAAUGGGAUUAAGAGGUUCUUUUAUGCUUCUAGUGCAUGUAUCUAUCCAGAGUUCAAGCAGCUGGAAACUAGUAAUGUGAGCCUCAAGGAGUCAGAUGCUUGGCCUGCAGAGCCACAAGAUGCUUAUGGUUUGGAGAAACUAGCAACGGAGGAGCUGUGCAAGCAUUACAACAAAGAUUUUGGGAUUGAGUGCCGCAUUGGAAGGUUCCAUAACAUUUACGGUCCUUUCGGAACAUGGAAAGGUGGAAGAGAGAAGGCACCAGCUGCUUUCUGUAGAAAGGCUCUCACCUCCACAGAUAGGUUUGAGAUGUGGGGAGAUGGGCUUCAAACUCGCUCUUUUACCUUCAUUGAUGAGUGUGUUGAAGGUGUACUAAGGUUGACAAAAUCAGAUUUCCGUGAGCCGGUGAACAUAGGAAGCGAUGAGAUGGUGAGUAUGAACGAGAUGGCUGAGAUGGUUCUGAGCUUUGAGGAAAAGAAGCUACGGAUUCACCACAUUCCAGGACCAGAAGGUGUUCGUGGCCGUAACUCAGACAACAAGCUGAUCAAAGAGAAGCUUGGCUGGGCUCCAACAAUGAGACUGAAGGAGGGGCUUAGAAUAACUUACUUCUGGAUAAAGGAACAGAUUGAGAAAGAGAAAGCUAAAGGCAGUGAUGUGUCGCUUUAUGGGUCUUCAAAAGUGGUUGGGACUCAAGCACCGGUUCAGCUUGGUUCACUCCGAGCUGCUGAUGGAAAAGAGUAAAUGGAUGAUUAGGCUCAAAGUAUGGCCUUUCUUAAUAUUAUAAUUAAUGUCAGGGAAGUGUUUAAUAUAUACCUCUUAAGUAAGUUUCUUAAGCAAUAAUAAUUGUUUUGGAUUUGAGUGUCCUCUUCUGCUGCUGAUCUUUCUUGUUCAAUUAUUAUUUUUUGGUUGGAAAAGCUUUUUCUGUUAAACUAGAUUAUACUAUGUAUUAAGUAUAAUAUUAUUGUGGACCUGAGACAAUAUCUUCACUAUUAUCGUCAACUUGAUGUUGUUGAACCAGGAAUCAAGUGGCUGAGUUCUGAUAUUUUUCUGUCAACUUGACUUUUCCGUCUAUCAUCGUUGAUAAAAUUUUAAAUAUCCCACACUGAUUAAGAGUAAGAUUAACUACGAAAAGUCACAUGGCACUCUCCUUUUCAAACUAGGAAAACUAGCUUAUGGCAUGCUCUUUCUGGAAGGUGUAUUCGGAUUUGAUUACAUGUUAUUCUGACAUAACUUCGUAUAUACAUCAAAAGAUUUCAAAAGUUACAAAGCAGCAAGCACCUUCUUUCCGUUAAACUAUUUAUCAUCCAUAUUCAACAAUAAUUUCAAUCAGACCAAAUGGCAGAGAAAAAGUGGGGGUGUGGUGGGUUCGAGCAGCUGCUCAAAGACCGUUUUGGAACGUGUCUAUUUUGCUGCCACUUUUGUCAGCGGAAGGCUGGCUCUCUCCCUAAUUCAACGGUGCUGCCAUUACACCCCUGAUAUAAUGGGCUAUGAAAGUCCUUAUGAGCCUCAUAACUCAUAUUUGAAAAGCCCAUUAAAAAAUUAAAUGGAUACUUCUACAUGAACAAAAGAUGUAAACUCGGUCCAUCACUAGCAUGAUCAUCUACGUUAGGAUGUACAAUUACAUUCCAAUUGCCUGGUUACUUUUUUUUACUCUCUCCACUCUUUCCAUUAUCUUGUAAGAUGCUUACCAAUAGAACUCGUAAUUUAGAUACAUUAAUACUGUUUGUUGUUUAAUGUUUAUAAAUCUAUCUAGAUAUUACUUUCAAAAUCAUUACACAGAAAUAAUGUAUUAUAUUCAAAUUAUUAACGAAUAUUCAAACUAUAGUAUCUACAAGACAACUUGCAAAACCAUAUCCACACCAAACUAUGAAUACCUGAAAAGUCCAAACAUUGUGGACCAAGAAGAUAUUGCUCGUGUAAAAGCAUGCACAAAGACUUCAUGUGGUUCUAAAGGAGGGAAACCUAUUAGGUCCCAUGAAGUCUUGUUGCUUGAAAAGUGGUGCCUACCUAUUAU